rnacentral:rRNA from 1 species
GACGUAGGGCGCGAGCGUUGUCCGGAUUUAUUGGGCGUAAAGAGCUCGUAGGCGGCUUGUCGCGUCGUUCGUGAAAACUCACAGCUCAACUGUGGGCGUGCGGGCGAUACGGGCAGACUAGAGUACUGCAGGGGAGACUGGAAUUCCUGGUGUAUCGGUGGAAUGCGCAGAUAUCAGGAGGAACACCGGUGGCGAAGGCGGGUCUCUGGGCAGUAACUGACGCUGAGGAGCGAAAGCGUGGGGAGCGAACAGG